rnacentral:snRNA from 1 species
GCGCUUGCUUCAGCAGCACAUAUACUAAAAUUGGAACGAUACAGAGAAGAUUAGCAUGGCCCCUGCACAAGGAUGACAUGCAAAUUCGUGAAGCGUUCCGUAUUUUU